UACAUUUUAAAAUUUUUUUCGACCAAUGAAAAAGAAGCAUUUAUUUCUUUUAAGCUCGCGAUAUUCGGCACAAACUGGAUUAUUCAGUCUUCACUCUAGAGCGUACACACGUGGAUCAAAUUAGAGCUAGCUAGAUCUAGAUCUAAAUCUAGUUGAAGAUAUCUACUUGGUAGUCUAAACCUCAAAGGAGCUUAGGGAAGUGAUGGCAGUUGCAGGGUAUGAACCAGACGACCAUGCAGAGACCAACGAGGCGACCAAACAUUCCAUCGUGCAUACCACAUAACCAGGUCCAGAAUGCCAGUUUUCUUUAAGGGCAGCUGACAAUAAGAUUUGUCUAUGUAUGCACUACAGAUGCUGUUCAAUAUCUUUUCAUGAGGAAGCCUGCUCAAAAAGAUCGCCACAUUGUCUUUAGGGGAAGUUGACAUUAAUCUUUUAGGUUAAUAAUAACCUAUGCAUGCAGUACAGAUGCUGUUCAUCUUUUCAUAAGCAAGCCUGCUCAAGAAGCUGCUGCAUGGAAGUCAAAAUAUGAAUUAUUGCCACCAGUCUUGAAGUCAGCUUGUAAAGAAUGCUAAGAAUUGAAUGAAAAUGCUGUCUUGAUAUCUUGUUUGUGCUGUUAUAUUUGUCUUUUGUGUUGGUUAAUUAUUCCAUGAAUAAAAAAUAAAAAAAAGUUAA